UACGUAGGUGGCAAGCGUUGUCCGGAUUUAUUGGGUUUAAAGGGUGCGUAGGCGGUUUUUUAAGUCAGUGCUGAAAUACUCCAGCUUAACUGGAGGGGUGGCAUUGAUACUGGAAGACUUGAGUACAGAUGAGGUAGGCGGAAUUGACGGUGUAGCGGUGAAAUGCAUAGAUAUCGUCAAGAACACCGAUAGCGAAGGCAGCUUACUGGGCUGUAACUGACGCUGAGGCGCGACAGCGUGGGGAGCAAACAGG
rnacentral:rRNA from 1 species